GUCAGUUUAUGAUACCUAAUGCAUUAAAAUUAAAAACUAUAUGUCAUCAUUAUAUUUAAUGUGCAGCAUUAUUGUUAAUUUAUUAUGUGCAUCAUGAUUUCAAAAAAGCUUUUACAUUUAGUUUUGUUUCUCAGCCAUAAUAAUAGAAGAAAUAAAAAUAACAGUAGACCAUGAUGAAAUUUUGCAGCCUGUUCUGUCACAGAGACAUGUUUGUAAUUUGCAGCAGAGAUGCUGUGGGACCGGAUCUGUUCAGAUAGACAUGCGUCAUGCUGCUGGUCUGGGGUCAGUUUUGUGUUUUAUCUGUUGUGUAAUCAGCCUCUUUCCUAAUAGCAGUAAAAGUUGUCAAAGAGUGUAAUUGAAGGAAUAGUUCAUCCCUGCUCAAUAGACAAAGGUCUGACGCAUCUGAUUGGCUCGCCUCUUUCUCUUCAUGGACAUCAGGUUCUACCACAAGGUGCAGAUUUGGGUCUGAGCAUUUGUGCACGUUCUGUUGUUUGUUUGAACAUUUUUCUUUUUAAACGAGGACUUGUGUUUAAUUCCUGUGCAUUGGUGUAGGUGAAGACCAUGGCAAACACGUUUGCCUAUGAAGAUUACCGUAAGGACAGAAUCCGGCAGAAGAUCGAGGAGUCGAGAGCUCAGAGAGUGCAGCUCAAGAGCAUUUUCUAUGUUCUCAUCGUCAGUCAUCAUCAGUGUGUUUUCUAACGGAAGCUGCCCAAGGUUAACAAGGAACUGAAACUCUUGGAGGAAAGUGAGCUUUCCACCAAGAAGAAGAAGAAAAAGGGCAAUGUGGGCAAUGUUUCUUUGACGCAUCUCCACACUGCUUGAAUACUUUAGUCCAGUGUUUUAAUGCUGUUGUCUCUUUCACUCCUUGCCUCAUUCUGCUCUUAUCUGUUUUUCUCUCAAGGCCGUAGCGAAUCUCCUGACGGACGACCGGUUCAAGGUGAUGUUCAAGAACCCUGAUUACCAGGUGGACGAGCGAAGCGAGGAGUUCGUCUGCUCAACCCCAUCGUGUCUAAAGUGGGUGAAAAGUGGAACCAGAAACUCAGCCAGAUUGUUCAGCACGAGGAACAGACAGCAAGGCAGGCAGAGCUGGGUCGAUUACAGGAGAGGAGUUUCACAGCUUCGGCGAUGUGGCCCGCAAACAGAAGAAGCAGAAGGCAGUUACUCUUCUCUCAGAUCAUUUUAA
ensembl:lncRNA